GUUCAUGGCAUGCCGUUCGCGCUGCGGUUCUGGUUUGUCCUGCGACUGUCUGUAGUCUGUACUACCCAGGCAUGUACAGUGCACACCACAUCGGCGUCCUGUGCCACUUCCCGUAGUUCGCAACUUCGCAGAGGAUGCUUGCUUGGAAAAUUUGCUUAAGAUAAUCCAUUGUUUUCGAAUUUUUUGAAACCAUAAUUCAAAAUUAGAUUGUUCAUUGUAGUAUUUUGCGAUUGUAUUAUUUUGCGUGGAACGGCAUCUGAUCCGAUAGUUACGUUAUUUUCGGUGCGUUUAAUUGCUACCUUGUGCAGGUUCGCCCUGUUUUGACUCCUACGAUGGCUCCGAGAGCGCCUGGAAUACCCCUUAAUGCCAUUUACGGAAUUGUCACGGCGGCCCUUGGUGCUACUUUCUACCUGAUGUGGCGCCAGGAGAUGGGAACAGUUCAGAAGCAUGUCGAUUUUAUGAGGUCCAAAAAUCAGCUUGGCGAGCAGGGCUUACUAACAACCGAGAAUACCCACGUGGAGACCAGCAAAGACGGAAGACAUAUCGUGAAACCUGGCCGCGAUGUGAAUGCACUGUAAUUCUGGGCUCCUCAUGAUUUUCGGAAUGGAGACCAUCAGCUGAUAGGACUGCAUGCAGUCCUGCAAUUGGGUGUGUGUUACGUAAAAAAAGUUUCGCUAUAUUUCGGAUACGUUCUAUCCCGUGCUUUGCAUUUUAGUUGACGACUGCUGUUAGUGUUGUUUUGAGUCGGGUUCGUGUAUUUGCACGUUCAGUAAGUAAUAAAUUAUCCAGAAAUGCUCCUGG